AUUGGUGAUUUCAACGAGAUCCUUUUCUCGUCAGAGAAGGAAGGUGGAGCUCCACGGCAUCAAUCUUGGCUUCAAGCCUUCUAGGACGCACUUGCAGAUUGCUCGUUGGAAGAUAUAGGAUAUCAUGGGGACAAGUUCACGUUCUUCAGAGGAGGGCUACAAGAGCGGCUGGGUCGCAUAGUCUCAAACGCAAAAUGGAUGGAGAUGCACCCGCUUUGUGGAGUGUUUAACCUGGAUAUGGCUAAGUCAGAUCAUCGGCCGAUCUGCUUGGACACGGAUUACCUGGUAGGAGUGGUGGCAACACGGUCAAGUGCUGGCCAAAAAUUCGAGGCGCGUUGGUUGGCAGAAGAGUCAGUGGAAGAAGUGGUGAAAACGGCUUGGCAAAAAGCUAUUGUUUGA
rnacentral:rRNA from 1 species